UCUGUAGUUGUUUCAGUGACCCCAUUACCU
rnacentral:piRNA from 1 species